CUGUAGGAGUUCAGGGUAGACCACUCGCUGAAGGAGUUCGGAGUAGACCGCUCGCUGUAGGAGUUCAGGGUAGACCACUCGCUGUAGGAGUUCGGAGUAGACCGCUCGUAGUAGAAGUUCGGCUCUCACAGGAGCCCGGUCGGAAUCUUGAAGAUGGUCGACUGUCGUAGAAACUCGGAUGGAGUUCGAUCUCUGUAGAAACCUCGUUGUCGAAGAAGCUCGAAUAUCGAUGGAGUCUGGAAAGAG
rnacentral:lncRNA from 1 species